GCCGAAGUAGCUCAGGGGUAGAGCACUUCCUUGGUAAGGAAGAGGUCGUGGGUUCAAAUCCCAUCUUUGGCU
rfam:Triticum urartu cultivar G1812 contig774314, whole genome shotgun sequence.